UGGGGAAGGAUCUCUUCUGGAGAUUCACUCCAUUGGAGUUUCUCACUUGAGCCCAGUUUACAGAUUGAAUUUGCAGAGCAGUCUUCUGACAUGCAUGAAGCAGUGCCAGUUAUUCAAGUCUUGCAUGGAUGAGGAGAAAGUGUGAUAUAAAAAUGUUGUGUAUAGGCCAGAAUCAGUGCCAGAUGUGCUUGCAUGUGCUGAGAAGAGAAGAGGAAAAUUGCAGCAGGGUGUGCAAAACUCAAGUGGAAUCAUUGAAGGAUGGUGAAUAUCGAAACCCAAAUGUUAUUUAGUAGUGAUACAUACACAUUGGAUGCACUGAUUAAUGUUACACGUAAACUGCUUCCAUGUGUUUGGCUUAUUUUCUAUGCAGCACAAGAUAUCAUUUCCCAGAAAAUUAAAGUUCCUCGUUAGU